AAAGGAAUUGACGGGGGCCCGCACAAGCAGCGGAGCAUGUGGCUUAAUUCGACGCAACGCGAAGAACCUUACCAAGGCUUGACAUAUACCGGAAAGCAUCAGAGAUGGUGCCCCCCUUGUGGUCGGUAUACAGGUGGUGCAUGGCUGUCGUCAGCUCGUGUCGUGAGAUGUUGGGUUAAGUCCCGCAACGAGCGCAACCCUUGUUCUGUGUUGCCAGCAUGCCUUUCGGGGUGAUGGGGACUCACAGGAGACUGCCGGGGUCAACUCGGAGGAAGGUGGGGACGACGUCAAGUCAUCAUGCCCCUUAUGUCUUGGGCUGCACACGUGCUACAAUGGCCGGUACAAUGAGCUGCGAUGCCGUGAGGCGGAGCGAAUCUCAAAAAGCCGGUCUCAGUUCGGAUUGGGGUCUGCAACUCGACCCCAUGAAGUCGGAGUUGCUAGUAAUCGCAGAUCAGCAUUGCUGCGGUGAAUACGUUCCCGGGCCUUGUACACACCG
rnacentral:rRNA from 1 species